rnacentral:rRNA from 2 species
UACGAAGGGGGCUAGCGUUGCUCGGAAUGACUGGGCGUAAAGGGCGCGUAGGCGGAUGUGACAGUCAGACGUGAAAUUCCUGGGCUCAACCUGGGGACUGCGUUUGAGACGUUAUAUCUAGAGUGAGGAAGAGGGUUGUGGAAUUCCCAGUGUAGAGGUGAAAUUCGUAGAUAUUGGGAAGAACACCGGUGGCGAAGGCGGCAACCUGGUCCUUUACUGACGCUGAGGCGCGAAAGCGUGGGGAGCAAACAGG